UUUCAAGUUGGGCCCGGGGUCUAGCCCAGCAAGCACUGUACGCAACCACGGAAGAGGUGGUCUCGUCCUCCGUCCUCCCAGUUUCCUUCGACCCGCGAGGAGCGGCCUCGACCUAACUCGUGCAACGAGCGGCUGCGAACUGGCUCUACUGCUUCCCGGCCAGCCGUCCCUCCCCUCGCACCGGUGCAGUGGUGCUCCCCUCCCGGCUCCCUGCUCCCCGCUCCCCAACGCGUGCCGUGGAGGCCGCCUCUCCUGCGCCGCCGGGGCGUCGCCCCGCCCUUCUGGACAGAUUGCUCCGGGCGACUAUUGUGUUGACCAGUUUGAUUAUAUGAUGGAGCUGUUUGCUUGACCUUGUGCACGGUACCAAAAAGCUGCAGCAGCAGAAUUUUUCGUCCGAGGAAAUCAAUACACUUGAGAAGAACUUCUGACAUAUUUCUUUCAGGAGGAGUCGAGCUGCAGCUCUCCAAGCGAGCUACGAAGGGCAUCCAACUGAUCGAUACCUUUUAUUCAAGAGAAAAGGCAACAGAUUGAUACAUCGACAAGGAAAAAAGAGAGAACCAAGGAGAUCGAGGAAAGCAGAUAAUGGCCGACCUCGAGAACGCUAUCGACGAGGGCCUCCUUGCGACGGCGGAGCCUGACGAGGAGUCUAUCCGCCGUUUCCAGCGCAAAGUCUUAGGCUUGGUGGGCCUCGUGAGUAGCGCCAUGUUCGCGGUCGAGUGGGUGGUGUGUCUCUAUUUCGCCUUAACAAGGAAUCCGACCCUUCCCGUUCUGGGGCGUCGCUUACGUCCUCGGGAUUUCAGCCUUGACCGUUGGAGGCUCAUUUUACUCCGUCAGACAUUUUUUUUGGAAAAUUGUUUGUGAAAUUUGUAGCCGUGAGAAUGUAGACAUUAGACUCGUAUAAAUAGGUUGCCCUAAUUCUGUGUAUCAGCGUUCACAUGCAAUGCCAAACUGUUGGCUUUAGUUGCACUCAUAUGUGUUGAAUGUCAUAUA